rnacentral:rRNA from 1 species
GCCCUACGGGGUGCAGCAGGCGCGAAAACUUUACAAUGCUGGCAACAGCGAUAAGGGAACCUCGAGUGCCAGGUUACAAAUCUGGCUGUCGAGAUGCCUAAAAAGCAUUUCAUAGCAAGGGCCGGGCAAGACCGGUGCCAGCCGCCGCGGUAACACCGGCGGCUCGAGUGGUAACCGUUAUUAUUGGGUCUAAAGGGUCUGUAGCCGGCCGGAUAAGUCUCUUGAGAAAUCUGGCAGCUUAACUGUCAGGCUUUCAGGAGAUACUGUCUGGCUCGAGGCCGGGAGAGGUGAGAGGUACUUCAGGGGUAGGGGUGAAAUCUUGUAAUCCUUGAAGGACCACCAGUGGCCAAGGCGUCUCACCAGAACGGACCUGACGGCAAGGGACGAAAGCUAGGGGCACGAACCGGAUUAGAUACCCGGGUAGUCCUAGCCGUAAACGAUACUCGCUAGGUGUCGGCCACGGUGCGACCGUUGUCGGUGCCGUAGGGAAGCCGUGAAGCGAGCCACCUGGGAAGUACGGCCGCAAGGCUGAAACUUAAAGGAAUUGGCGGGGGAGCACCACAACGGGUGGAGCUUGCGGUUUAAUUGGAUUCAACGCCGGAAAUCUUAC